rnacentral:rRNA from 1 species
UACAGAGGUCUCAAGCGUUGUUCGGAUUCAUUGGGCGUAAAGGGUGCGUAGGCGGCGCGGUAAGUCGGUUGUGAAAUCUCGGGGCUUAACUCCGAAACUGCAUUCGAUACUGCCGUGCUUGAGGACUGGAGAGGAGACUGGAAUUUACGGUGUAGCGGUGAAAUGCGUAGAUAUCGUAAGGAAGACCAGUGGCGAAGGCGGGUCUCUGGACAGUUCCUGACGCUGAGGCACGAAGGUCAGGGGAGCAAACGGG